UACAGAGGUCUCAAGCGUUGUUCGGAUUCAUUGGGCGUAAAGGGUGUGUAGGUGGCGCGCUAAGUCGGGUGUGAAAUUUCGGAGCUUAACUCCGAAACUGCAUUCGAUACUGGCGUGCUUGAGGACUGGAGAGGAGACUGGAAUUUACGGUGUAGCAGUGAAAUGCGUAGAUAUCAAGUGGAACACCAGUGGCGAAGGCGAGUCCCUGGACAACUCCUGACACUGAGGCACGAAAGCUAGGGGAGCAAACAGG
rnacentral:rRNA from 1 species